CGCGCCAGGGGUCUCCGAGCUAUUUUGCCUAAAACGUUCUGUCAUGGCAGAUAGCCUGAGUUUUAAACUCACGGGGUAUGUUUGGAAACGAGCAUGCCUUCACAUUUUUUGAAAAGGAGGAAAACGUGAAAAGGU
rnacentral:ncRNA from 2 species